rnacentral:rRNA from 1 species
CAGUGCGCGCUGCUAUACAUGCAGUCGAGCGGACAGAAGGGAGCUUGCUCCCGGAUGUUAGCGGCGGACGGGUGAGUAACACGUGGGUAACCUGCCUGUAAGACUGGGAUAACUCCGGGAAACCGGAGCUAAUACCGGAUAGUUCCUUGAACCGCAUGGUUCAAGGAUGAAAGACGGUUUCGGCUGUCACUUACAGAUGGACCCGCGGCGCAUUAGCUAGUUGGUGGGGUAAUGGCUCACCAAGGCGACGAUGCGUAGCCGACCUGAGAGGGUGAUCGGCCACACUGGGACUGAGACACGGCCCAGACUCCUACGGGAGGCAGCAGUAGGGAAUCUUCCGCAAUGGACGAAAGUCUGACGGAGCAACGCCGCGUGAGUGAUGAAGGUUUUCGGAUCGUAAAGCUCUGUUGUUAGGGAAGAACAAGUGCGAGAGUAACUGCUCGCACCUUGACGGUACCUAACCAGAAAGCCACGGCUAACUACGUGCCAGCAGCCGCGGUAAUACGUAGGUGGCAAGCGUUGUCCGGAAUUAUUGGGCGUAAAGGGCUCGCAGGCGGUUUCUUAAGUCUGAUGUGAAAGCCCCCGGCUCAACCGGGGAGGGUCAUUGGAAACUGGGAAACUUGAGUGCAGAAGAGGAGAGUGGAAUUCCACGUGUAGCGGUGAAAUGCGUAGAGAUGUGGAGGAACACCAGUGGCGAAGGCGACUCUCUGGUCUGUAACUGACGCUGAGGAGCGAAAGCGUGGGGAGCGAACAGGAUUAGAUACCCUGGUAGUCCACGCCGUAAACGAUGAGUGCUAAGUGUUAGGGGGUUUCCGCCCCUUAGUGCUGCAGCUAACGCAUUAAGCACUCCGCCUGGGGAGUACGGUCGCAAGACUGAAACUCAAAGGAAUUGACGGGGGCCCGCACAAGCGGUGGAGCAUGUGGUUUAAUUCGAAGCAACGCGAAGAACCUUACCAGGUCUUGACAUCCUCUGACAACCCUAGAGAUAGGGCUUUCCCUUCGGGGACAGAGUGACAGGUGGUGCAUGGUUGUCGUCAGCUCGUGUCGUGAGAUGUUGGGUUAAGUCCCGCAACGAGCGCAACCCUUGAUCUUAGUUGCCAGCAUUCAGUUGGGCACUCUAAGGUGACUGCCGGUGACAAACCGGAGGAAGGUGGGGAUGACGUCAAAUCAUCAUGCCCCUUAUGACCUGGGCUACACACGUGCUACAAUGGACAGAACAAAGGGCUGCAAGACCGCAAGGUUUAGCCAAUCCCAUAAAUCUGUUCUCAGUUCGGAUCGCAGUCUGCAACUCGACUGCGUGAAGCUGGAAUCGCUAGUAAUCGCGGAUCAGCAUGCCGCGGUGAAUACGUUCCCGGGCCUUGUACACACCGCCCGUCGCACCACGAGAGUUUGCAACACCCGAAGUCGGUGAGGUAACCUUUAGGAGCCAGCCGCCGAAGGUGGGCAGGAAG